UACGAAGGGUGCAAGCGUUACUCGGAAUUACUGGGCGUAAAGCGUGCGUAGGUGGUUUGUUAAGUCUGAUGUGAAAGCCCUGGGCUCAACCUGGGAAUUGCACUGGAUACUGGCAGGCUAGAGUGCGGUAGAGGAUGGCGGAAUUCCCGGUGUAGCAGUGAAAUGCGUAGAGAUCGGAAGGAACGCCGGUGGCGAAGGCAGCCCCCUGGGUCAAGACUGACGCUCAUGCACGAAAGCGUGGGGAGCAAACAGG
rnacentral:rRNA from 1 species